rnacentral:rRNA from 1 species
AGAGUUUGAUCCUGGCUCAGGAUGAACGCUAGCGGCAGGCUUAACACAUGCAAGUCGAGGGGUAACAUUGUGCUUGCACAGAUGACGACCGGCGCACGGGUGCGUAACACGUAUAGAAUCUACCUUAUACUAGGGAAUAGCCUUUGGAAACGAAGAUUAAUGCCCUAUAGUAUAUUGUUUUGGCAUCAAGACAAUAUUAAAGGUUACGGUAUAAGAUGACUAUGCGUUCUAUUAGCUAGAUGGUGUGGUAACGGCACACCAUGGCAACGAUAGAUAGGGGCCCUGAGAGGGGGAUCCCCCACACUGGUACUGAGACACGGCCCAGACUCCUACGGGAGGCAGCAGUGGGGAAUAUUGCACAAUGGGCGAAAGCCUGAUGCAGCGACGCCGCGUGAGGGAUGACGGCCUUCGGGUUGUAAACCUCUUUCAGUAGGGAAGAAGCGAAAGUGACGGUACCUGCAGAAGAAGCACCGGCUAACUACGUGCCAGCAGCCGCGGUAAUACGUAGGGUGCGAGCGUUAUCCGGAAUUAUUGGGCGUAAAGAGCUCGUAGGCGGUUUGUCGCGUCUGUCGUGAAAGUCCGGGGCUUAACCCCGGAUCUGCGGUGGGUACGGGCAGACUAGAGUGCAGUAGGGGAGACUGGAAUUCCUGGUGUAGCGGUGGAAUGCGCAGAUAUCAGGAGGAACACCGAUGGCGAAGGCAGGUCUCUGGGCUGUAACUGACGCUGAGGAGCGAAAGCAUGGGGAGCGAACAGGAUUAGAUACCCUGGUAGUCCAUGCCGUAAACGUUGGGCACUAGGUGUGGGGACCAUUCCACGGUUUCCGCGCCGCAGCUAACGCAUUAAGUGCCCCGCCUGGGGAGUACGGCCGCAAGGCUAAAACUCAAAGGAAUUGACGGGGGCCCGCACAAGCGGCGGAGCAUGCGGAUUAAUUCGAUGCAACGCGAAGAACCUUACCAAGGCUUGACAUGUUCUCGAUCGCCGUAGAGAUACGGUUUCCCCUUUGGGGCGGGAUCACAGGUGGUGCAUGGUUGUCGUCAGCUCGUGUCGUGAGAUGUUGGGUUAAGUCCCGCAACGAGCGCAACCCUCGUUCCAUGUUGCCAGCACGUAAUGGUGGGGACUCAUGGGAGACUGCCGGGGUCAACUCGGAGGAAGGCGGGGACGACGUCAAAUCAUCAUGCCCCUUAUGUCUUGGGCUUCACGCAUGCUACAAUGGCCGGUACAAUGGGUUGCGAUACUGUGAGGUGGAGCUAAUCCCAAAAAGCCGGUCUCAGUUCGGAUUGGGGUCUGCAACUCGACCCCAUGAAGUCGGAGUCGCUAGUAAUCGCAGAUCAGCAACGCUGCGGUGAAUACGUUCCCGGGCCUUGUACACACCGCCCGUCAAGUCACGAAAGUCGGUAACACCCGAAGCCGGUGGCCUAACCCUUGUGGGGGGAGCCGUCGAAGGUGGGACCAGCGAUUGGGACUAAGUCGUAACAAGGUAACC